AUGGACGGUAAGCACGAGCUGCUCCAAUGCUUUGAUGGGCACGGACUGCUCCAUACAAUGCCUAGAUCAGAAAGUCUAUACUCUGCAAGGAAAAGCCUUGAGGAAGAAGUUUUCAUACCACAUCUCCAUGGCCGACUAUUUCAUCUAAGAGGUUAUCACCGGGGGAUGAAGGUGUUGUGCAGGACCAAGGAACCUGAGGAAAAGCAGGCCAGUAGGUCCACCCCCGUCCCCAUGGCCAUGGUUUAUGUUUUUCUCAUAAAUCUCGAGGUUGUGGCAGAUUAUGUCUUGAAAUGCAUCAGGCAGAGCACUCAAAGAUAA
rnacentral:rRNA from 1 species